rnacentral:rRNA from 1 species
CAGUCGCCGCGGUAAUACGAAGGGUGCAAGCGUUAAUCGGAAUUACUGGGCGUAAAGCGCGCGUAGGUGGUGCAUUAAGUUGGAUGUGAAAGCCCUGGGCUCAACCUGGGAAUUGCAGUGGAUACUGGGUCACUAGAGUGUGGUAGAGGAUAGUGGAAUUUCCGGUGUAGCAGUGAAAUGCGUAGAGAUCGGAAGGAACAUCUGUGGCGAAGGCGACUAUCUGGGCCAACACUGACACUGAGGCACGAAAGCGUGGGGAGCAAACAGGAUUAGAUACCCCAGUAGUCCCUGUCUCUUAUAC